UUCUAAAACACACUGGAGUGGGAGGAAUGUUCUUCCCCAGGUGGAAUAGGACGCUGAUAAUGUCCUUUUCCCUUAAGCCUUUAUUAUGGAGAAUGCUCUUGGUUUAUUCCACAAGGGUUAUGUUCCCUAUCCCCUUGUUAGAGCCAUGAGAAUCUCUCUCCUAAUUCCACACUGUGAGAAUAUGGUGGGAUUCCUGGAAGUAAAACUCACCAAAGUCUGGGGAUCCCAAGAAGUUUUUCAUUCUCUCACUAAUCACACUCAGCCUCUAGCAAUUUGUCAUCAGUAGCAUUUAAUUGUUCCUACAGGUUUAUGGUUCCAGCAUCUUUUGCUCCAAGUCUCGUACAGAGAUGACCACAGGACGGACGUGGUAGGGAGCAGUGCAGUGCACUGCAAGAAGUUCUACUCUAGGGCCUGUUGGAUGGGAUUUGAAUCCUAACUCUGGCAGUUGUUAGUGGGGAGGCCACAGCGAUCAUUUGGAGGACCUGGAGUGCAGCACUGGAACAUUCAUGUGUGCCUACAGUUGACUGAUCUACCUUGGGAGGGUACUGCUCUCAGCAGAAGACAAAUCAAGCUUUACACCGGGCCUUCACAUGCACAGAGCAUGGCAUCAUAGGAAGUCUGACUUGUUCUUGUUUAUAGGCCAGAAACUCUCCGGCAGCCACCAGAGCAAACUCAGACCAUCACAAAGAAUUCCUCCAAACUCUUCUGCCAACACAACCAAGUUAAAUGUUGUGAAAAUUCCAUGCCACUACCCUUAUCACUGAGUCCAAAUACCGUGGUUCUUCUUUUCUGCUGACUAUCAUGGAAAAUGACCCAGGUGACAUUUCUUUGACACUACCUUGUUAAUGAUGCUUAACAUCAGGAAACUUUGACAGGUGGCUACAUAGCAUGCACUUAACACCACUGCCCAUGUAGCAAAGAAAAAAUAGUAUUAUCUUUCCCAUCUUCAGAAUCUCCAUCAAAACCUAUCUAUUCUUACUUUACACACUAUUUAUUUAAGUUUCUAAAUAUAAAGAUGCUUAUUAAAAUAUAUUUGGAAAAAGAGAGAGACAUUUAGGCAUUUAAUAGGUAAAUUAUAGUCAUUGCCUGUCCCAGCAUCUUCAGUCUAGAAUAGAUUGGUGCAGUACAUGGCCCUUUCUUCUCUCUCUGAUCUGCAAAUGACCCACAAGGGCUCCUGCAAGCAUCAAGAAGCAGUCUCCCCAACCAUCACUAUAUGUACGACAAGGAGGCACACUUAAACUUCUGCCUAGAUUUUUGUGGUCUUAAUUUCUUAAUCUAUCUGGAUUAUUGAUGCCUGACUCUUCCUUUAGUUUAGAUUGAAUUAAGGCCAUUAAAUCCUGUUCAAU
rnacentral:lncRNA from 1 species